UACGUAGGGUGCGAGCGUUAUUCGGAAUUACUGGGCGUAAAGCGUGCGCAGGCGGCUUUGCAAGACAGCUGUGAAAUCCCCGGGCUUAACCUGGGAACUGCAUUUGUGACUGCAUGGCUGGAGUGCGGCAGAGGGGGAUGGAAUUCCGCGUGUAGCAGUGAAAUGCGUAGAUAUGUGGAGGAACACCGAUGGCGAAGGCAGCCCCCUGGGCCGACACUGACGCUCAGGCACGAAAGCGUGGGGAGCAAACAGG
rnacentral:rRNA from 1 species